GCGUCCAUUGUCUAAUGGAUAGGACAGAGGUCUUCU
rnacentral:tRNA from 3 species